rnacentral:rRNA from 1 species
ACACCCUGAACAUGCCCGAUCUCAUCUGAUCUCGGAAGCUAAGCAGGGUUGGGCCUGGUUAGUACUUAGAUGGGAGUUAAUUUUUAUAUAUGGUGAAACGUAGGU